AACGAACGCUGGCGGCAUGCCUAAUACAUGCAAGUCGAACGAGAUAUUCGGAUUUAGUGGCGCACGGGUGCGUAACGCGUGGGAAUCUGCCCUUGGGUUCGGAAUAACUUCUGGAAACGGAAGCUAAUACCGGAUGAUGACGUAAGUCCAAAGAUUUAUCGCCCAAGGAUGAGCCCGCGUAGGAUUAGCUAGUUGGUGGGGUAAAGGCCAACCAAGGCGUCGAUCCUUAGCUGGUCUGAGAGGAUGAUCAGCCACACUGGGACUGAGACACGGCCCAGACUCCUACGGGAGGCAGCAGUAGGGAAUAUUGGACAAUGGGGGAAACCCUGAUCCAGCAAUGCCGCGUGAGUGAUGAAGGCCUUAGGGUUGUAAAGUUCUUUUACCCGGGAUGAUAAUGACAGUACCGGGAGAAUAAGCUCCGGCUAACUCCGUG
rnacentral:rRNA from 1 species